CCUACGGGAGGCUGCAGUGGGGAAUAUUGCACAAUGGGGGAAACCCUGAUGCAGCGACGCCGCGUGAGUGAGGCAGUAUUUCGGUAUGUAAAGCUCUAUCAGCAGGGAAGAAAAUGACGGUACCUGACUAAGAAGCCCCGGCUAACUACGUGCCAGCAGCCUCGGUAAUACGUAGGGGGCAAGCGUUAUCCGGAUUUACUGGGUGUAAAGGGAGCGUAGACGGAAUUGCAAGUCUGAUGUGAAAAUCCGGGGCUCAACCCCGGAAGUGCAUUGGAAACUGUAUUUCGAGAGUGUCGGAGAGGCAAGUGGAAUUCCUGGUGUAGCGGUGAAAUGCGUAGAUAUCAGGAGGAACACCAGUGGCGAAGGCGGCUUGCUGGACGAUGACUGACGUUGAGGCUCGAAAGCGCGGGGAGCAAACAGGAUUAGAUACCCGAGUAGUC
rnacentral:rRNA from 1 species